AUGAACGCUGGCGGCGUGCCUAACACCUGCAAGUCGCACGAAGCACCUUACCUGAUUCUUCGGAUGAAAGUUUGGUGACUGAGUGGCGGACGGGUGAGUAACGCGUGGGUAACCUGCCCUGUACAGGGGGAUAACAGCUGGAAACGGCUGCUAAUACCGCAUAAGCGCACGAGGAGACAUCUCCUUGUGUGAAAAACUCCGGUGGUACAGGAUGGGCCCGCGUCUGAUUAGCUGGUUGGCAGGGUAACGGCCUACCAAGGCAACGAUCAGUAGCCGGUCUGAGAGGAUGAACGGCCACAUUGGAACUGAGACACGGUCCAAACUCCUACGGGAGGCAGCAGUGGGGAAUAUUGCACAAUGGGGGAAACCCUGAUGCAGCAACGCCGCGUGAGUGAAGAAGUAUUUCGGUAUGUAAAGCUCUAUCAGCAGGGAAGAUAAUGACGGUACCUGACUAAGAAGCUCCGGCUAAAUACGUG
rnacentral:rRNA from 1 species